rnacentral:lncRNA from 1 species
UUAUUCUGUUGCUGAUGGGAUCAAACGUCCUGUAUAAGAAAAAUAAACGAUAAGAAGCACAUAUUCUGCGUAAAUGUGUGCACGCGAAUGGUGACAGUAGGACGUUUUGCCUUUUUCAACUGUAAUACUUGAUUGGGGCCUUACACAUCGCAGUGCGUCCGGUCAGGCAUUCCAUCGAGCAGGCGACGGGCAUAUGGCAGUGCGCUCGAGGCCGGCGCCUACUUAACGGCGCUAUCCCUCGCCUACCGGCUAUUGGAGAAGGAGGAGGUGGGAAAAACGGGCAGGCGGGUCGUCGGUGUCAUCGCCGGAGCGGGGUUCGGGGCGGAGGAAGGGGGACGAUGGGUGGCGGCCGUCGGCUGAAAGGUUGGGGAGGGCGGGAAGCACAGCAGAG